AUUGAACGCUGGCGGCAGGCCUAACACAUGCAAGUCGAACGGUAACAGAAAGCAGCUUGCUGCUUUGCUGACGAGUGGCGGACGGGUGAGUAAUGUCUGGGAAACUGCCUGAUGGAGGGGGAUAACUACUGGAAACGGUAGCUAAUACCGCAUAACGUCGCAAGACCAAAGAGGGGGACCUUCGGGCCUCUUGCCAUCGGAUGUGCCCAGAUGGGAUUAGCUAGUAGGUGGGGUAAAGGCUCACCUAGGCGACGAUCCCUAGCUGGUUUGAGAGGAUGACCAGCCACACUGGAACUGAGACACGGUCCAGACUCCUACGGGAGGCAGCAGUGGGGAAUAUUGCACAAUGGGCGCAAGCCUGAUGCAGCCAUGCCGCGUGUAUGAAGAAGGCCUUCGGGUUGUAAAGUACUUUCAGCGGGGAGGAAGGGAGUAAAGUUAAUACCUUUGCUCAUUGACGUUACCCGCAGAAGAAGCACCGGCUAACUCCGUG
rnacentral:rRNA from 1 species